AGUGAACGCUGGCGGUAGGCCUAACACAUGCAAGUCGAACGGCAGCACAGGAGAGCUUGCUCUCUGGGUGGCGAGUGGCGGACGGGUGAGGAAUGCAUCGGAAUCUACUCUUUCGUGGGGGAUAACGUAGGGAAACUUACGCUAAUACCGCAUACGACCUACGGGUGAAAGCCGGGGACCUUCGGGCCUGGCGCGAAAGAAUGAGCCGAUGCCCGAUUAGCUAGUUGGCGGGGUAAGAGCCCACCAAGGCGACGAUCGGUAGCUGGUCUGAGAGGAUGAUCAGCCACACUGGAACUGAGACACGGUCCAGACUCCUACGGGAGGCAGCAGUGGGGAAUAUUGGACAAUGGGCGCAAGCCUGAUCCAGCCAUACCGCGUGGGUGAAGAAGGCCUUCGGGUUGUAAAGCCCUUUUGUUGGGAAAGAAAAGCAGUCGGUUAAUACCCGAUUGUUCUGACGUACCCAAGAAUAAG
rnacentral:rRNA from 1 species